UGCGUGCCUCCUUCCCUGGCUCCCGGGCUCCUGCCUGCCAGCGGUCUCCCUCCCAAGGCCACCGAGGCCGUCCCGUGCCUCUCCGGGUUCUCUUCCAACCGGAGAGACGGGGACUCCAGUUUCUGGUGGGAACUGGCCUGGGCCCUCCUGCUGCUGAGUCCCCAUCUCUUCUCCACCGCUGCCUCUGGUCCCUGGCCCGCAGUCCCGUGGGUGACCAGAGGCCACCUCUCCCAGAGUACACAAGCUGGCAGGUCACGUGGAGCCUUCCAGCCCCUGCAGAUGGUCAGCCACCGUCCCCCCAGAACAUGGUGGGCAUCUCCGGCUUAGGCUGCCCUCCAUGAGAGCAAGCGCUGGUGGAAGUGCCAAAGGGAGACGCCGACGAGAAGAGAGAGGGAAGGGGUCUGGAUGAGGAGAGACCGUGGCUGUGAGCUGAGGCUUCUUCCAGUCCCUGGACUCUGGGCCUCACUUCUGCCCCCCACACUCACACUGGAACUCCUUUCCCGGUUGUGGGGAGGGCGAGGCUGCGGGCUUCCUGAGCGCCUUACAGGGAUGGGCAAAACUGCCACACCUGUCUGGGAGACAAGGCCUGGGCCCAGUGUGUCAGCCAACUCCACCUGCUGCCUGCCAAGGACAGGGUGGCAGCUGGGCAAUGGCCUUUGGUGUAGAACCUGCCCUCCUGGUCUCUAGGACAAGAGCAGAGACCCCCACAUAUCCCUGUGACUCCUGCCCUCUACAGACGAGCUUCCUUACCACCUGCAUUCCACCACAGUUGCCCUCAGCUCCCAGAAUGCCAUCUCUCCACUCUCCAGAUAUGCAUUUAUUGAGCACCUACUGUAUGUCUGCACUCACUUUGGAGCCAAGCAUGUAGUCCACACCAAAGGCCAGCCAUGAUGACCUGCCAGACCCAAGUCCCAGGCACUGAGCUCUGAGCUGCUGUCUCGGGUAGACCCCCCUCCUCCCCUGGCCUGGGAUGCACCCCAGAAAUCGGGCCCAAGAACCUGAUUCUGAAACCAUGAGGCCUGGAGCUCAGUAGAUGCUGGUGAAUAGCUCUAAGAGACAAGGAAUGAGGAGUGUGGGCUGGGCAGAAAAGACCCGCUCCUAAAAGAGCAAACCAAUCUGGGCGAACACAACACAGUCUGGGAAAAUUUAAUAACACAGUGGCACUUGUUCACGAAGACGAAUGAAACACUGCACAAACCCCGAACUGCCCAAACAGCCAGGGAGCCCGCUUCGCCGGGAAGGGUCUCCCAGGUGCCUACCACAGGCUGGGGACCAGAGGAGUGGAGAGGAGAGGAGAAGGCAAGCUCUGCCCCAGGAGAGGCAGGAGGUCCUCGCCCCCACUGGAGGGUGGCUGAGGGCCAGGGGAAGAGCCACAGGUGAAGUCCAGGGCACGUCAGAGGUGCUGGAAGAAUGGGAUCUUGUGGUAGAGGAGAAGGCAGCCUGGGCACUCAUGAUGUCCCCUAGUGGAGAAACCCAACUUCCAGGAAGAUGCCACAGGGCAGUGACUGCAAACAGUAAUCGCUGUGAAUGGGAAGCAAUCUAAAUAGGAUUGGCUUUUUUUUUUUAAUGUAG